rnacentral:rRNA from 1 species
GACAGAGGGUGCAAACGUUGCUCGGAAUCAUUGGGCGUAAAGGGCGCGUAGGCGGCUUGGCAAGUCAAAGGUGAAAUCCCUCGGCCUAACCGAGGAACUGCCUUUGAAACUGCUUGGCUUGAGGCCGGGAGAGGGUAGCGGAAUUCCCAGUGUAGCGGUGAAAUGCGUAGAUAUUGGGAGGAAUACCGGUGGCGAAGGCGGCAUCCUGGACCGGCAUUGACGCUGAGGAGCGAAAGCCAGGGGAGCAAACGGG